AUUUUUUUCUCUCUCCUAUAAUGGUAGAAAUUAGUGGGAAAGAAUUGGGGAUUAGUACCAUGCUUAUAGCAUCCAAAUAUGAAAAAUUGGGCACCUUUUAUCCAAUAUCAGAUUGGUUUUACCGAUCUGCAAAUUCUUGUUUACUGAAAGUAUUUGGUGGAAUCAUUCUCAUGAUGUAUUUAUUGUUUGUUUUAUUGAAAUCUCUGUUUUAGAUGAGCAUGCAAG
rnacentral:lncRNA from 1 species